rnacentral:tRNA from 1 species
GGGGUAGUAGCGCAGGUGGUCAGUUCGCGGCGGACUGAAAAUCCGUAGAUAGUGGUUCGAUUCCACUCUGCCCCA